rnacentral:misc_RNA from 1 species
AUCAGAGCUUAGAGCUAGAGAGAAUACCUGAUGGGGAAGUCCCUGCAUCUAAAUCUUUGCCAUGCUCCAAAAUUACAAAUUUUCAUAAACAGGUCACAUGGGUUUCUCCAUUCCAUUGCUCUAAUUUUCUUGAUUUACUAUAGAGCUUCCUUUCUCCUCCAAGACCCAAAAACAAGAGCUGCACCUUUAUUUUUAUGGCUUCUUGUCUUUGCUUCUGAGCUGCUUCUGUCCUUCAUAUGGUUGCUUGGCCAAGCCUUUCGCUGGCUUCCUG